GACGAACGCUGGCGGCGUGCUUAACACAUGCAAGUCGAACGGAAAGGCCCUGCUUUUGUGGGGUGCUCGAGUGGCGAACGGGUGAGUAACACGUGAGUAACCUGCCCUUGACUUUGGGAUAACUUCAGGAAACUGGGGCUAAUACCGGAUAGGAGCUCCUGCUGCAUGGUGGGGGUUGGAAAGUUUCGGCGGUUGGGGAUGGACUCGCGGCUUAUCAGCUUGUUGGUGGGGUAGUGGCUUACCAAGGCUUUGACGGGUAGCCGGCCUGAGAGGGUGACCGGCGACAUUGGGACUGAGAUACGGCCCAGACUCCUACGGGAGGCAGCAGUGGGGAAUAUUGCACAAUGGGCGGAAGCCUGAUGCAGCAACGCCGCGUGCGGGAUGACGGCCUUCUGGUUGUAAACCGCUUUCGCCUGUGACGAAGCGUGAGUGACGGUAAUGGGUAAAGAAGCACCGGCUAACUACGUG
rnacentral:rRNA from 1 species